rnacentral:lncRNA from 1 species
CUAACAUACCCUUUCAGGAUAACUGAAUCUUUUUCCCAAAUCAUACAGCAACCACCAUAACACAGCCUAGAGCCUACAUCUUUCCUUUUGUUCUUCUGAUAAAACAUAACACAGCCUAUGUCAAAAAGCAAAGCCGUCUCAAGCUCGGACAAAGUUGCAACAAUGCUGAGCUGACAGUAAACAUAAAAACAAUCUAAUUUUAAAGAAUUAAGACAUAACAUAACUAUUUUGGAUCAUACAGUCAACCCAACUAUUUUGGAAUUCAGAUGUUAUUUAUCCAUUAUACUGAAAUAGGCAUAACAUAACACAAGACACCUUUUUAAAGGUGGUGAUUUUUUUAUCCAAAUCAUACAACAAAUACCAUAUUUAUUAUGCAAUCAUCUAUUUUCAGCAAGUCUAAAGUACAAAACUUUAAAAGAAAAUAUGUUGUGUAAUUCUGGGUAUUUAGAUCCUGAAUACAUGCAAUCGGGUAUUGCUAGUCAAAAAACUGACGUCUACAACUUCGGUGUUGUCACACCUCCUUUUUUCACUACACCCCCGAAAGAGGGCAUAAUAAAGGGUGUUUUUUCCAAUUAAAGGACAAUCGAAACAGGAUUAUUUAUUAAAAGAUUCAGAGUCUCCACUUGGGAGAUUUAUGGUGUCCCAAGUCACUGGUUUAAAAUCCCGUAUCGAGGAAAAGAAUGACUCUGUUUAACAGUCUGCGAACUAGAAAUCCGGGUAAGGAAUUUUGUUAACCCGGGAGAAGGUGUUAGGCAUUCCCGAGUUUCGUGGUUCUAGCACGGUCGCUCAACUGUUAUUAUUGGCAUAAUUAUCUGAUUUAAAAAACAUUUUGAACCUAUGUGCAUUUUUAUUCCUUUUUAAACCACUUUUAAUUAUUUAAGGAAUUAUUUCAAGGUUAUUUCAAACACGUCGCAAAUCACGCUACAUGAAAUGCACCCGUGAUUCACGAUACGUUAUAUUUAACCUCGUUGGGAAUUAGAACCGGGCCACAUGAAAUGUACUCCCGAAUUUUAGUAAUUACAACUCACAACAAAGUCGCGGAAAAUUAUCACACACGCAACCCUCAAAGACGAUUUUCAUGUGGACUCAACGACUAGAAUAAAUAAAUUAUGAACUCAAUGACUGACUUACACCUCUAUCGCUCCACUUGACUGUUAUCAAAGAUUCCUCCCCGAUGUAAAAUAAAAAUUUUCCAUUCUAAACGACGUACAAUUCUUAUACAUAUGUAAAUACACACACAUGCACAGCCUUUUAUGCCUUGGCCAAAAAGGACAAAAACCAAAGCCCAAACCUGUUGGUGAUUAAUUGCUAACGGAUUGGACUAUUCCAAUUCCUAUAUCCUAGCAACAUUUGAAAUAGGUUAAACACAUUACUUUAUGCCGAGUCCUUAGUCAGCUAUAACAGGAAUACAAUAACUGAACAAACAAGAAGCAACCAAAUAGAGGUGAACUAAAGUGUGACAGGGCCACGACUUCUGCGAGCUCAAAUUGCCAGCCUUCCCAAUUUAUUGACAUGCUUUCAAACCUUCUCUUUAAUAUAUACACUCCAUUUCAGGCUGCUACAGCUCUUCAGGACUCAACAAGAAACCAGAAAAAACACCUUAAACUUACCUAUUUCAUGUGUAAUCCUAAGGAAAAAAUAAAAUACUCAAGGGAGUUGCUUAUGAAUGCAGCAGGUGUACAAUUCUUAAGACGAGAAGAUCAAAGAGCACUUCAACGCGAAAUAAAUUGGGACGAGCAUCAAACAGAAACUAGCAAAGACAAACCAAUUGAGGCAUUCAAUAAACCAUAGGCGAAUUGAUCAGUUCCUGCAAACUAAUGUAUAAUCUGAACGCCUCAUCUUUCCCAAUGCUCAUGCUCAAACAUUUCAACCAAUGAGCAAAUCACCAAGUGACAGAAGCAGAAUUACCCAGCUUAGAAAUAAUUUCACCAUGAGUUUGUACAUUAUUUUGGAGUCACAGUGUCAUGGCUAUUGGUAUAACAUGAUUUUAACAGAUUAUUUGCUAUUUGCAAAAGCAAAACUAUUCAGCUAGAGUUUUUUUUUUAAAAAAAAUCUCUGGACAUAUCAAGUUAGUCAUGGAUAUUCCAGAACUUCUCAUCUUAACACAGGCACACCUUAUCUAUUGCUCUUUGCUAACUGAAAACUAAUGAAGAUCCAGUGGUAUAAAGGUACAACUGAAGCUACCAAGCCAGGGCAUCAAAUUCCAAGUCUUAGAGACCAUUUCGGGAUCCUAAUUCACAAAACGUAACCUACAGGCAACGAGAAUCAGAGAGAUCUAACAUGGAUCAUGUUCGGACAGUGGUGUUGAGCUUUAAACCGAAGAGCACAAGACAUAGAUAGAGCUAAUAUCAUUUCAAAUCAUGAAGACCUCACUUAAUCUAACAAUAUAUCAUCACACAAUUGCGCUGGAUAAAACAAUCAAGCGUCAUAGAGUGAAAAAUAGAAACAUACAAGUUUUUCACAUAGCAAAGUCACUCCGGAUUUUUGAAUUUUACGCUAGUGACAAAGAAUCAUCAGAAUGCCAACUCUAAUAUAAAAGAUAUGAGAACGAGAUGAACCUGUUAAAAUUUCCAGUUGAUCUUUCAGCAAAUUACAACAAUCAAAAUAAAAUGAAUCGGAUGAAUCCACAACAAAGAACUCAACCAAGACCUCAAACCAGAAACGGAAAACAUCAGCUUUCGAACUCGAACAACAACUUCAACAGCGACGAGCUCGUUUAAAUCAACUGCUUUAAACAAGAACCAGAGAAGAAAAACGGAAUCCCUUUUUUGAAAUUUUCUAAUUUCUGAAGCAAACUAUGAACAAACGAAAAACUCAAAAAAAAUUGCAUUUUUUAAUAGAGAAGAAAACGGAAUAACAAAUCCAAAAAAAAAACCUCAGUCUUUAUCUCUGUUAUCAUUUAAGAAAUCGAAGAGCGAUAAAGAAGAUCUAUCUCUCAAAUCCUUUACCAAGUAUGAAACCUCUGAAUAGUCCCCAAGACAUUCUCUCCAAAACCAAAAAAAAUCCCCCCACCCUUACCCGAAAAGGGUCCCUUAUAUAUCCAAACUCUGGAUUCUUUCUUCCUCUUAAAGAAAGCGGAUAAGGCUCUCUUGAAAAUGAGCACGUGGUGAAUGUGAGGCUCAGAUUGAAUGAGAUUGAUCCGACGCCUCUCACUCAUCCAACACCCUUCUUCUAGAGCCUUCUAAUCCACGUGAGAUAGCUUGAAAACGGGCGAGUGAGGGAGAGAAUCUUGUUGUUGUCAGAGCCCGUUACUCCUAUGUGGCAAGAGGAGGGAGGGGGAAGGCGCGUGGGGUGAGUUAGGGUGAAUUUGUGCGAUUUUGGUGAAGGGGAAGAUGAGCAGUAACCUGUGCAGCUUUGGGGUCUUUGAGACUUAGGGUUUUUUGUGUUGUAAUAGGAGCGGGUCGGGUCAGCGUGCGGGUUUGGGCGUGGGUCUAGGUGAUUUGGGCUGAAUGGGUGUAGUUGGGCUGGAGUGAGGGAAUUCACAUUGGGCUUGGACAAAUU